rnacentral:pre_miRNA from 1 species
AAUGGAAUUGUUGUAUCAUAUGGUAAAUUUAUGUUUAGUUUUUUUAAGAAACUGCUAAACUGUUUCCCAAACCUAUGGUGCCCGUUUACAUUUUCACUGGCAAU